AAUAAAGUGCCUGAUAAAAGGAUUAUCGUGAUAGGAUAAGAAAUGUAAUUAAAAUUACCUUUAUUA
rnacentral:tRNA from 1 species